rnacentral:lncRNA from 1 species
ACUCCCUUCACUUGUGGGGCGCCCCCCAAGUUAUGGGGCGCCCCCCAACUGUUCUUGGGGCCCCCCCCUGGCCCUUUUGUCCCCCCCCCAGGACGUGCUGGUGAAGGUGGUUCGCUACGAGGGGUUCUUCAGCCUCUGGAAGGGUUUCACCCCCUACUACGCCCGGCUGGGCCCCCACACGGUGCUCACCUUCAUCUUCCUCGAGCAGAUGAACAAGUGGUACCGGCGCCUCUUCCUCAGCGCCUGACCCACAGCGCCGUGGGGCAGCCCCAUAGGGGCUGUGGGGCAGACCCAUAGCAGCCCGGGGGGGGGCCCUACCCCCAUAGGGGCUGUGGGGCAGACCCAUAGCGGCCCGGGGGGGGGCCCUACAGCGGACCUAUGGGGGGUUUAUGGGCCCUACGGGGGUCUACGGGACAUCUCAUGGGGCUAUGGGGUAGCUUGUGGUCCCUCGUGGUCCCUGUGGGGGCCAUGGGGCAGCCCCAUAGCGGCCCUAUGGGGGGUUUAUGGGCCCUAUGGGGUGUCUUGUGUUCCCUGUGGGGGCUGUGGGGCAGCCCCAUAGCGGCCCUAUGGGGGGUUUAUGGGCCCUAUAGGGGCUGGGUUAUGUCACAUGGGCCCCAUAGCGGCCCUAUGGGGAGUUUAUGGGCCCUAUAGGGGCUGGGUUGUGUCAUAUAGGCCCCAUAGCAACUGUGGGGCAGCCCCAUAGCGGCCCUAUGGGGGGUUUAUGGGCCCUACGGGGGUCUAUGGGACAUCUCAUGGGGCUAUGGGGUGUCUCGUGGUCCCUGUGGGGGCCGUGGGGCAGCCCCAUAGCAGCCCUAUGGGGGGUUUAUGGGCCCUAUGGGGUGUCUUGUGGUCCCUGUGGGGGCUGUGGGGCAGCCCCAUAGCGGCUGUGGGGUGGCCCUAUGGGGUCUGUGGGGUGUCUCGUGGCCUCUAUGGGGCCUGUGGGGCAGCCCCACGGCCCUAUGGGGGCUGGAGAGUGUGCCUAUGGGGGGCUAUAGGAUGUCCUGGGGUCCCUAUAGGGGGCUAUGGGGCAGCCCCACAUCCCUAUGGGGGCUGUGGGGUGCCCCCCAUCUCCCUAUGGAUCAGUUGGAGCCGCUAUGGGGCAGCCCCAUAUUCCCCUCCUUCUGCCCCAACACUCUGGGGUCACGUGCCCCACGGCGUUUUCCCCCCCCUGCCCCACACUUGGGGGGUGGACUCCCCCCACUCCUGCCCCACACAUGUCCCUCUGCCCCCCAACCAGCCUAAGGUCAAUUUUUAGGGGGGCGGGGGAGGAAUCAAGUGUUUUAUUGAUUGUCAAGGUCACGUGUGGGGCAGGAGCCCCCCAACCUCUGCCCCAUAGCGGGCUACCCCCCACCCCCUCCCCGCCCCACACGCUGCCGUGGGGCACCCCACGGCCCCUGGAAAGCGCUUCGUUAAUGACUCCUUGAUUUAAAAUAAUUAAAAUGAAAUCAUGACGAGAGCAACAAGUGAUGUGGUUGGGGGGCAGACCCAUGGAGAUGGGGCCUACCCCACAGCAGCUGGGGUUGUGACCCACGGCAGGUUUGGGGGGCUGACCCACAGCAAGUGGGGCCUGCCCCAUAGCAGUGUUGGGAGGUCUGACCCAUGGUGGAGCCUGACCCAUGAUAGGGCCUGCCCCAUAGCAAAGCCUGCCCCACAGCAGGCUUGGAGGCCUGACCGACGCUAAUAGGGCCUGCCCCAUAGCGUAGCCCACCCCACAGCGUACUUGAGGCUCUGCCCCACAUCGAGCUGGGUCCCUUUUCCCCUCACUCACCCACGGUUGCCUCAGCUUCUCCACGGCGGGACCAGGCCCACAAUGGCCU